rnacentral:lncRNA from 1 species
GCAAAGAGUCGGACACAAGUGAGUAACUGAACUGAACUGAACUGAACCUUGAAUAUUCUCAGAUCCCAUGAUUCCCCUUCAAAGAAUAAAGAGCAUAUGACCCUUCAUUUAAAAUAAACUCCAGAUCCCUGUUCAGUGUUAUUCAUAACUCAAUGUGUGGUCCUGGCCCUAUUAAGAAAUCCCUCUAAAUCCCUUCUUUAGACCCCCUGGAAGUCAACGUGGAACAGCCUGUGGCAGCCAGAGAUGGAGAAACUCAACCCAGGUCUUAACGCAGAAACGUAAACACUGAAAAGGCACGCACCAGAGCCCCACUGUGAUGGCUCACAGGCAGAGGCGGGGAAGGCGACAACCGACAGGCACCUCCAUUCCCAUCUGGGACCUCAUUCCAGGCAAGCAGGACACUCACGCCCUCCUGGGGUCAGGCAAGGCUGACAGAAGGCUGCCCUUGCUGCCAGUCUCCCUCCUGACUGGCUGGUUGGCAGGGAGAGCAGCAGAAAACACCCUCAAUCCCUGUUUCUGAGCAGGGAUCAAGACACUGUCCCCAGUCCAAGAUAAGGACCAGGAACCUUCAGAAGUCAGAGAAUAACCAGAAGCUCUAACUGGGGGUCCCCAAGGGACAAAGGUCUGACCCCAUAUCAAGCCUCUGGGACCCACACUCACCAUCUCAUUCGGACCUGGAAAGCUGCCCAACGGGUAUCGAGAGCUGCUAAUGCCUGGCUCAUAGGAUCCAGCGUUACUUAAUUUACACAUCGGUACUGCAUGGCGGAAAGAGGGUCACCCGCCUGAAAGUGGUCUGAAGCAAUAAAUGGUAAUUUCCAGAGAUGCUUAGCGCCGUUAAUCACAGUGCCAUGGCCUUGAGGGAAAGUUGGGUCCAUUCUAAGCUCAGACAGUAAACAGGAAAAGACUUUGCCUAAGAUGCGCUGAGACCACGUAGAGGACAAGGUGUCAGAGGAGAACGUGAAAGAAAGUGAAAGUCGCUCAGUCAUGUCCGUCUCUUUGUGACCCCAUGGACUAUAUAGUCCUUGGAAUUCUCCAGGCCAGANNNNNNNNNNNNNNNNNNNNNNNNNNNNNNNNNNNNNNNNNNNNNNNNNNNNNNNNNNNNNNNNNNNCCCACAUUGCAGGCAGAUUCUUUACCAGCUGAGCCUCAAGGGAAGCCCAGAGAAUGUGAGGGAAGGGCAUCUUUGGGGCCCCUGGAAGGAUCAAGGAGCUCUGAGAGAGAGUCCCAGACCCAGGGGCAAAUCCUUCAGGGUCGCACUGGGCGAGGGCCUGAAAGGGGCCAUUGGAUUGAUGCUUCGAGGUCCCCGGUGACCUGGGCUAGGGUGGCUCCAGGACAGAUGUGGCGAGUUCCCGGGUUUCGGGGCUGAUGGAGGAAGAGGCAGGACCACGAGGUGGCAGUGUUGCACAACAAGCUUUGCUGGGUGACGCUUGGACAGAUUGCAGGAGGGGAGGGCCCUCUUAGCAGGAGGAUUCCCCCCACCCCUCAUCCCCCCACUCCCAGCCCC